AUUGAACGCUGGCGGCAGGCCUAACACAUGCAAGUCGAGCGCGCGGCGGGCGGGUGAGUAAUGUAUGGGGUCUUCCCGAUAGAGGGGGAUAACUAGUGGAGACGGUUGCUAAUACCGCAUACUAUCGGAUAACCCAUAGGGGAUUAGCUAGUAGGGUGGGUAAAGGCUCACCUAGGCGACGAUCUCUAGCUGGUCUGAGAGGAUGAUCAGCCACACGGGGACUGAGACACGGGCCAGACUCCUACGGAGGCAGCAGUGGGGAAUAUUGCACAAUGGGCGCAAGCCUGAUGCAGCCAUGCCGCGUGUAUGAAGAAGGCCUUAGGGUUGUAAAGUACUUUCAGCGGGGAGGCGUUACCCGCAGAAGAAGCACCGGCUAACUCCGUGCCAGCAGCCGCGGUAAUUC
rnacentral:rRNA from 1 species